UUUGUUAUAUAUUACAAAAAAAGGCCCGAAACUAGAACGAUCGCGAUCCUGAAGACCCCUCAUUCAUUCAUUCAUUCUCUCCCUCUCUCCCUCUCUCUCAAAAACCAGUCUGGCGACGAGAGUUUCUCCGGAGAUUCCAAUGGCGAAAUCGUCACCAGUGUCUGUGCUGAAAGCAUACUGGUUUCCUCUGAUUCUCUUCGCAUUAUCCAUGUUCUAUCAGCUUCUGAUCCUUCCUCGUUCCUACCCUCCUUCUCACUACGAUGUUUUGGGGCUCAAGAGGUAUAGUUCCAUGGAGCAAGUCACUGAAGCCUACGAGAAGUUCUCAUCCAAGUGAAGGGUUGUGCCCCUCUCUAUGUUCUCUAAUAUGAUUUGCUUUGCUGCCAAUAAAAAAAUACUUCCUUCUCCAAGCCGAAGUGGGUCCUCAAGAAUUUUUAAAGUUGUGAUCUAUACCAAUUUGCCCAAAUCAAAGAUCCAACGUGAGUAAUUAAAAAAAAAUUUCAUAAAUGCCUACUAACUGAGCUUUAUUUUGUUCUUUAUGUUUGUCCUCCUUUUAAUCUUCAGCAAUCUUGGCUAUGGUAGAGGUGAGAUCCACUCCUUUCCAUAGAUUUCCAUAGAAAGGCUCGCAAAAUUUUUUCUAUGGAAGUGAACUUUCUUUUGGAGAAUAAACAUACUGGACUCUAUGUUACAUGGACUUGGGUACGGGUGUCGGAUGUGGAUAUGUAUCUAGAAGUAGGAUUCAUCAAACCAUAAAUUUAAGGGUACGUGGAUUCUGCAAAAAAAUGUCAUAUUUUUAUAUUUUUAAUCAAGUAUGUAAGAUAAAAUGGUGCUAUAUGUAACUUACAGUGUCAAAAAGACGUUUUUUAUAUAACAAUAUGUAUAUAUAAUAAUAGUGUUAUAUAUAAUUAUAUAAGAAGUAUCCAUUGAAAAGUGUCAAACACAUAUUCUAUACCCUUGUUCGACACGGGUAUUUGAUUUAUUUUGAAGAGUCCAUGUAACAUAGAGGACUAGUAUAUUUGAAUAGAGAAUAACACUGUCUUGAUCAAUAUUAUAUGGGCUCUUCUAAAUUUAUGAAGUAUAUGUGUUGGACAGUUAAUAGUUGUGAAAGGGUAUGGGAUAUGUCCGAUAUGCCUAGUUGGAGAUGCACUCAAAAAGUAUGUAUAAGUUGUUGAGUUUAUUAUAGUAACAUGCAUAAGAUUUCUAUUUUCUAUAUUAAUACUCUAUUUUAGUUUUUAAACAUCAUUUUAUCCUUAAAAUAUUAAGAAAAUAACAUAUAUGAAAUAUAGCCGUGUCUAGGUGUCCUUGACAUGAGAAUUAUAUGAAUUUGACAUAUCCACACUCAACACCCGUGAUUGAGUCUAUGUACAUAGGUUUUGAUCAAUUGAAAUCUGCCAGCACAAGAUUAUACAUUAGUCCAGGACUUAACUCUGGCUAUAAUUCAACAAGACGUCUACAAUACUCUGCCAUGAACUUGGAAGAAAUUAAGCUAGAAACGCCAUAUUAGAAGGCUCAUCAUUCUUAGCAGGAUUCGGAGUUAAACCAGACAAACUCUGGAAAACAGUCAAAGCCUCUUUAAAUAGAGUAAUAAAACUCACAUCAGCCUUGCAAAAGGGCAUGUAUAAGUGGAAGUCAAAUGAGUAAUCCUUUCCUUUGCAUACCUUGAGUACUUGAAGUCACUCACUGUUAUCUUCUUUCUCAGGAUACUUGUUAGAUUUUCUAUAGCCUAAACAAACAAGUAGGGUGACAUGGGUACCCUUGUUUAAGGCCUUUGGCACUUGGGAAAUAUUCCUUUAGUUCAUUAUCAUUGCUAUUAAUUAAAAAGCUGGGAGAAGUAACACAUGCCUUGACCCAACUGAUAAAC